rnacentral:rRNA from 2 species
AUCUGGGCGGCGGAAUUCAGGAUGGCGAGCGUGUCGUUAGCGCGGCACGUUGGUCGUUUGAUAUUUCCGUCGUCGAACGCAGACGUCGCGACCUGUUCGCGGUCGGUCCCUGCUCGGAGGAGCCGCGUUCNGAGUUCGUUGUGUACGCGUUUCUGCGCGUCACACGGCGAAGGCGUGGAUCUCUGGCUGGCCGACGGACAGUACGCUUAACGGUGUCCGGUGUCGUCGUCUCGUACGCGCGCGCAUCGGUACCGGUCGGCGACGAAUUCUUCGGGCCUCUUUCCGACCCGUCUUGAAACACGGACCAAGGAGUCUAACAUGCGCGCGAGUCGCGGGGUGUCGAGCGUACCACGCGUACGUUCGUUACGUUACGAAACCCGUACAUAUCGAAGGCGUAAUGAAAGUAAAUGGGGAAGAUGGUGUUUCCGAGUACACGUUCCGCGGUCAUUGGUACCGCGGCCGGACACCCGCAUUCCCGGGGCGUCUCAACGGCCCGUCGCGGAUGCGGACAGCUGUCUCUCGGGGCGGCUGUCGGUCUGCGACGAACCGA